rnacentral:rRNA from 1 species
CUACGGGAGGCAGCAGUGGGGAAUAUUGCGCAAUGGGCGAAAGCCUGACGCAGCGACGCCGCGUGGGGGAAGAAGGCUCUCGGGUCGUAAACCCCUGUCAGGAGGGAAGAACCCCUUUAAGUCGAAUAGGCUUUUAGGCUGACGGUACCUCCAAAGGAAGCACCGGCUAACUCCGUGCCAGCAGCCGCGGUAACACGGAGGGUGCGAGCGGUAAUCGGAAUCACUGGGCGUCAAGCGCACGUAGGCGGCUUGGUAAGUCAGAUGUGAAAGCCCUCGGCUCACCCGAGGAAUUGCAUUUGAUACUGCCUGGCUUGAGUACCGGAGAGGUUGGCGGAAUUCCCGGUGUAGGAGUGAAAUCCGUAGAUAUCGGGAGGAACACCAGUGGCGAAGGCGGCCAACUGGACGGUAACUGACGCUGAGGUGCGAAAGCGUGGGGAGCAAACAGGAUUAGAUACCCGGGUAGUC